rnacentral:rRNA from 1 species
GUCCUACGGGAGGCAGCAGUGAGGAAUAUUGGUCAAUGGGCGGGAGCCUGAACCAGCCAAGUCGCGUGAGGGACGACGGUCCUAUGGAUUGUAAACCUCUUUUGUCGGGGAACAAAGGCGCCCACGGGUGGGCGGAUGAGUGUACCCGAAGAAAAAGCAUCGGCUAACUCCGUGCCAGCAGCCGCGGUAAUACGGAGGAUGCGAGCGUUAUCCGGAUUUAUUGGGUUUAAAGGGUGCGUAGGCGGGAUGCCAAGUCAGCGGUCAAAUACGGGGGCUCAACCUGCGUCCGCCGUUGAAACUGGCGU